CCCUUAGACGUUCUGGGCCGCACGCGCGCUACACUGACCAGUGCAACAAGCAUCCGUCCUUGGCCGACAGGCUCGGGCAAUCUUUGAACGCUGGUCGUGAUGGGGAUAGACUUUUGCAAUUUUUGGUCUUCAACGAGGAAUUCCUAGUAAACGCAAGUCACCAACUUGCAUUGAUUACGUCCCUGCCCUUUGUACACACCGCCCGUCGCACCUACCGAUUGAAUGGUCCGGUGAAGCCUCCGGAUUGGCGCGCACCUCGGUGCCGCCGAGAAGUUGGCUAAACCUUACCAUUUAGAGGAAGGUGAANUCGUAACA
rnacentral:rRNA from 1 species